CUGGGUCAAGAAGACCACUGUCACAGAAUCCUGAAACCAUGUACAUAACGAAUUCUUGUUUCACACUCUGGACUAGAACACUACGCAGAACCGUCAUUUUGCAGGUAUCAUAUAUUAAAGCCUCUUUUCAAGUGGCAGAGUCCUACUUGAGAAUUGUACAGUACACUCAGCUUGCCAAGAAAUUCGCUGUAUUUUAUAGACCUGAAUUUCAUUACUGUGUUUAAAAGUCCACCAAUAUCCUAGGUUCUGCUAAUUACAGAGCUGUUACCUGAUGCAUUCAAAAAAUUAUGAGGCCUCACACAGCAUUCUACCAUGCUUAAUGCUUACCGUUAUCAGUGAGGCUGUCCAGAGUCUGGUCAGGUGAUAACAACAGCUUUAUGAACACAUGGUCCUCCUAUCCCUUCCAGAAGUGCAGGCCACAAGAAAAAAAAGUUGACUUAAAAUAAAUUCCUUACCCUACUUACUUGCCUCAUAACAUUGAAUAUAAAAAGUACAGCAUAUCAUAAUAUUCAGAAUAUAAAAUCAGAUAGUGACAAAGGUUUGGAGAACAAAUCACAUACUUAAAGUGGAAUAACUUUUGUAAACUGAAUCCAUAUUUGAAAAGAUACAAAAUACAGUAUUACUUAAACCAGUGGUGAAAUAAGAUAAUGAGACAUGGACAUGGGGUGACUCAGACAAAUAAUAGAAAUAGCAAGAAUGAAAACUACAAGAUAAAAAGUUUCAGGUCCCCUCACCUCAAUGCUCUUGGCGAGGUCAAAUUUAUCCACUGUCUUCCUGAGGUAGAUUGCAACACUUCUUUCCAGUUCAGCUGCUACAGGCUCAGGGGGUGUGGCACUGCUAACUGUGGGUGGCUGAAUAUGCAGAAUUCGUCUCACAUGGUCUUUCUUCAGUGCCAGCAAUGACUGUGCUGACCUGAAUGCCAGCUGCUCAUAAAGGAGAAUGUAUAGUUCACAUUAGCGCUUUGUCACAGAACAUUUCAUUUCAUAUUAUAAAGACUAAAGAAGGUCAAUUCACAUCACAGCACUCACACACAGGACAGAGCAACAAGUGAUUUCUAAGCCAAAACCUCGUUUGUGACAAUGAUAUGCAUUCAUAAUUAGCGGGAUCUGAGGUUCUUAUGGCAGUGAGUAUGGAGAUGGCUGUCUUUUGGGUUGGAGCACCUUGUAGUCUAGUAGUCUAAAACAUUGGUAAACUUCUAUAAGGCCACAAUGUGCUACAACCCAGAAUUAAUUUAAAAGUACAAGGAGCAGUCAAAAUGUAAGGUUCAAAUGCAUCUCAAAAUGUUUCAUUAAAUCUUUUAUAUAGAUAAUACAGCACCAUUAUAUAUUACAUAAACAAUCAUUCUGUAUAGUCCCCAUCAAGCAGGGAGGUAAGAAAUGCAUACAAAAUUAUAGCUGGGAAAUACAACUGAAAGCGACAACCUGGAAGACCUGGACAUAGCAGGUAAAGUUAUCCCUGUGUUCAAUCAAGCACUAUUCCAUGAUAAUAUAUUAAAGAGGCAAACUCCACAUAUAGUCUUGGCCAGCUUCUAGCCCCAGUUGCAUUAACACCAAGGGAAAAUGCCCCCAGUAUAUAUUUGACAGAAGGUUAAGUGCUCCCAGAGGUGGUCUGAGUGUAGCAGCACAGAGAAAAAUCUUCCCCUCCCAGAAACUAAAUCCUAUUCAUGCAACCCUUGCUUCAGCAUUAUAGUGAACUACUCUGACUUGUAUACAUAUAAAGGAUAAUAUUCAAAUGUAUCUUGAAUAAGUUGAUGUUCUUCAGAACUCUGUAUUGAACCUUCAGGCUGCAUAAGAGGCAGGGAAUUUCUUGGCCAACUGAAUGAUCAGCUUCUCAAGGAGGACUUUGUUGCAUGGAGCUGGUUAAUUAGCCAUCAUGGUGCCACUUUUGUUUCCUAUCUUUUGUGAUUUCAGAUCUAUUUUGUGACUGCAAUUAUUUAACACACUACUCUACUAGGUCCAUGUUACAUAGGACUGAAAUAUUAACAAAUAAAAUGAAGCAGUUCAGACUGUAAAGUACUGUAUCAGUUAAAACUAUUAUUUAAGCUGAUCAUAAAAUUAGGGUCAAGAGGAAUGUAUCUGGACCUGACUACUGCUUGCCUUGCCUAAAUCAAGGAAUUAUAACAUAAACAACAGGACAGUAAACAGUGUUUCAUAAUUCAACACCAUGCAGGACAACACUGUCCAUCUAAUGCACUUUGCAAGUACCUAAUAGGAAAACCAGUGUACAGGUGUGUUGCCACAUUUUCAUACUUGUAGAGACAAAAUUUAAGCUUUGCCACACACAAUACAAUACAAUAAAAUGUAACAAAAUCAAAUGUCCACAAUAGCAUUUAACAUAUUUCUCUUCUGGAAAAAUGAAGUUCUGAGAACCUAUGAAGUCUUUUCUUAAAAUUCUUCACUCUGUAUGAUAAGGCUAGUAAAAAAUGUAAGUUAAUAAUUAUAUUUCAGUGAUGCAUUUCUGUUAAUAAUUUUCAAUAAGGUAUAAUCUAACUGUCAUAAGCAUACUCAUUUUAAACCUGUGUUCUUUCAUCAUGAUUCUGCAACAGAGAAACCUUGAUCUUUCCAAUGAAUUAUUUUAAAUUUGAACCACUUAUACUGUUCAGUGUAAAUAACAGAAUCAUGUAUUUAGAAAUUCAUAAAAAAUUUGAAUAGGAAUUUGUGUCAAAAUGAUAAGCCCUGGCAUAACAAACUAACUUCACACAAAUAAAAGAGAUAAUUUUUCAUGUCA